rnacentral:rRNA from 1 species
UGAGGAAUAUUGGUCAAUGGACGGAAGUCUGAACCAGCCAAGUAGCGUGCAGGAUGACGGCCCUAUGGGUUGUAAACUGCUUUUGUAUGGGGAUAAAGUUAGGGACGUGUCCCUAUUUGCAGGUACCAUACGAAUAAGGACUGGCUAAUUCCGUGCCAGCAGCCGCGGUAAUACGGAAGGUCCAGGCGUUAUCCGGAUUUAUUGGGUUUAAAGGGAGCGUAGGCUGGAGAUUAAGUGUGUUGUGAAAUGUAGACGCUCAACGUCUGAAUUGCAGCGCAUACUGGUUUCCUUGAGUACGCACAACGUUGGCGGAAUUCGUCGUGUAGCGGUGAAAUGCUUAGAUAUGACGAAGAACUCCGAUUGCGAAGGCAGCUGACGGGAGCGCAACUGACGCUUAAGCUCGAAGGUGCGGGUAUCAAACAGG